AGUCGAACGGUGAAGCCAGCUUGCUUGGUGGAUCAGUGGCGAACGGGUGAGUAACACGUGAGCAACCUGCCCUGGACUCUGGGAUAAGCGCUGGAAACGGCGUCUAAUACUGGAUAUGAGACGUGAUCGCAUGGUCGUGUUUGGAAAGAUUUUUCGGUCUGGGAUGGGCUCGCGGCCUAUCAGCUUGUUGGUGAGGUAAUGGCUCACCAAGGCGUCGACGGGUAGCCGGCCUGAGAGGGUGACCGGCCACACUGGGACUGAGACACGGCCCAGACUCCUACGGGAGGCAGCAGUGGGGAAUAUUGCACAAUGGGCGGAAGCCUGAUGCAGCAACGCCGCGUGAGGGAUGACGGCCUUCGGGUUGUAAACCUCUUUUAGCAGGGAAGAAGCGAAAGUGACGGUACCUGCAGAAAAAGCGCCGGCUAACUACGUGCCAGCAGCCGCGGUAAUACGUAGGGCGCAAGCGUUAUCCGGAAUUAUUGGGCGUAAAGAGCUCGUAGGCGGUUUGUCGCGUCUGCUGUGAAAUCCCGAGGCUCAACCUCGGGUCUGCAGUGGGUACGGGCAGACUAGAGUGCGGUAGGGGAGAUUGGAAUUCCUGGUGUAGCGGUGGAAUGCGCAGAUAUCAGGAGGAACACCGAUGGCGAAGGCAGAUCUCUGGGCCGUAACUGACGCUGAGGAGCGAAAGGGUGGGGAGCAAACAGGCUUAGAUACCCUGGUAGUCCACCCCGUAAACGUUGGGAACUAGUUGUGGGGACCAUUCCACGGUUUCCGUGACGCAGCUAACGCAUUAAGUUCCCCGCCUGGGGAGUACGGCCGCAAGGCUAAAACUCAAAGGAAUUGAC
rnacentral:rRNA from 1 species